UGCCAGCAGCCGCGGUAAUACGGGGGGCGUAAGCGUUAUUCGGAAUUAUUGGGCGUAAAGGGCGCGUAGGCGGUCUUGUCCGUCAGGUGUGAAAGCUCGGGGUUUAACCCCGGAAGUGCACUUGAAACAGUAAGACUUGAAUACGGUAGAGGAGAGAGGAAUUUCUGGUGUAGAGGUGAAAUUCGUAGAUAUUAGGAGGAACACCGAUGGCGAAGGCAUCUCUCUGGGCCGAUAUUGACGCUGAGGCGCGAAGGCGUGGGUAGCGAACGGGAUUAGAUA
rnacentral:rRNA from 1 species